UCCUUGGUCUUAAUUUCUUCUUCUUAUCGUGUCUACAAGGCAGUUAGUUACAAGGCUUGGCUAGAUGUGGUUCAGCCAUAGCUGAACACAUUUCUGUUCCUUCUCAUUAAACUCUGCUAAGUCCGAUGCUGUGCAGGGAUGUUCCAGCAGGGGGCAUAUGAGGAGGUGUUGCAUGGUCUGUGGUUCAGUGCCACAGUCACACUCAGCGUUCUGAUCAUUCAGAUGUCCCCAUUU